rnacentral:rRNA from 1 species
UACGAAUCGUGCGAACGUUGUUCGGAAUCACUGGGCUUAAAGGGCGCGUAGGCGGGCGCUCAAGUCCGGGGUGAAAUCCCACAGCUCAACUGUGGAACGGCCCCGGAUACUGGGUGCCUCGAGGGAGGUAGGGGCGUGUGGAACGUUUGGUGGAGCGGUGAAAUGCGUUGAUAUCAAACGGAACUCCGGUGGCGAAGGCGACACGCUGGGCCUCUUCUGACGCUGAGGCGCGAAAGCCAGGGUAGCGAACGGG